rnacentral:rRNA from 1 species
AGAGUUUGAUCCUGGCUCAGAUUGAACGCUGGCGGUAUGCUUAACACAUGCAAGUCGAACGGUAACAGGCCUUCGGGCGCUGACGAGUGGCGGACGGGUGAGUAACGCGUAGGAAUCUGCCUCAUAGUGGGGGACAACGUGGGGAAACUCACGCUAAUACCGCAUACGCCCUACGGGGGAAAGCGGGGGGAUCUUCGGACCUCGCGCUAUGAGAUGAGCCUGCGUUAGAUUAGCUAGUUGGUAGGGUAAAGGCCUACCAAGGCGACGAUCUAUAGCUGGUCUGAGAGGACGAUCAGCCACACUGGGACUGAGACACGGCCCAGACUCCUACGGGAGGCAGCAGUGGGGAAUAUUGGACAAUGGGCGCAAGCCUGAUCCAGCAAUACCGCGUGUGUGAAGAAGGCCUUAGGGUUGUAAAGCACUUUCAAUUGGGAGGAAAACCUGCCGGUCAAUACCCGGUAGCUUGACAUUACCUUUAGAAGAAGCACCGGCUAACUCCGUG